rnacentral:misc_RNA from 1 species
UUUAUUUUAAAUUUCAAGUUUCUUACUUCAAAAACAUAAGACUUUCAUACAAACUUCCGACCCCCGUUUUAUCCCCUUUGGGGUCGAAUUUCGUAAAAUCCGUUCUUAGCGGAAGUCUACUUUUUAUAAGGAGCCUACCUGCUAAAUUUCAAGUUUGUAGCUGUUAUAGUUCCGGAGAUUUCGUGAUGAGUGAAUCAAUCUACCAUCCCC